AAAAUAAAUUAAAUUUAAUUAAAAUAAAUAUCUAAAUUUUAAGUAUAUCAUUUACAAUGAUAAGAUGUUUUUUAACUUUAUUUAAAUU
rnacentral:tRNA from 1 species